UGGGGAAUUUUGGACAAUGGGCGAAAGCCUGAUCCAGCAAUGCCGCGUGUGUGAAGAAGGCCUUCGGGUUGUAAAGCACUUUUGUCCGGAAAGAAAUCCUUGGCUCUAAUACAGUCGGGGGAUGACGGUACCGGAAGAAUAAGCACCGGCUAACUACGUGCCAGCAACCGCGGUAAUACGUAGGGUGCAAGCGUUAAUCGGAAUUACUGGGCGUAAAGCGUGCGCAGGCGGUUUGCUAAGACCGAUGUGAAAUCCCCGGGCUCAACCUGGGAACUGCAUUGGUGACUGGCAGGCUAGAGUAUGGCAGAGGGGGGUAGAAUUCCACGUGUAGCAGUGAAAUGCGUAGAGAUGUGGAGGAAUACCGAUGGCGAAGGCAGCCCCCUGGGCCAAUACUGACGCUCAUGCACGAAAGCGUGGGGAGCAAACAGGAUUAGAUACCCUGGUAGUCCACGCCCUAAAACGAUGUCAACUAGUUGUUGGGGAUUCAUUUCCUUAGUAACGUAGCUAACGCGUGAAGUUGACCGCCUGGGGAGUACGGUCGCAAGAUUAAAACUCAAAGGAAUUGACGGGGUCAUAGCUGUUUCCU
rnacentral:rRNA from 1 species